UCCGAUAUGGUGUAAAGGCUAGCAUCGGGGAUUCUCACUCCCCGGAUCAGGGUUCGAUUCCCUGUAUCGGAG